UAAUAUAAAAUUAUGCUGUUAGGAAGGUUAUUAGCUAUUAUGAAAACAAUAAAAGGGUAAUUGGUAUAUAAUAAUUUCAAUAGGAGAAAAUUGACAAUCUCUCUUAAAUAAAUGAUUCUUAUAUACUAGAAUUUUUUUCCUUAAUGUUUUUCGUACAAAGAAUGAUUAAAACUAGCAUCUCAUUUGUUAAAAUUAAUCAUUUCUCCCUAGUAUUUCAAAACUCAUCAAAAUACCAAAUAUGGUAAAAAAAAAAGGCUCAAUGUGGUCCGAUCUUGUAUUACAUAAACCUCUUCUUAUGUAUCUAUUUUUUGGCAAUUAAUUGAUAGGCACACAUAAUAUGGAUGUAAUGAAUUAAUAGGAUGAUGUUAUACAAUGAGAGCACUUGAGAUUUUUAUGAGGAUAAAACAAGAAGCCCAAUUAGACUCAUCACUGUUGAUAUCGACGUGUGUUAAUUUUUGGCUAAGUUUCUAUGCGCAUCUCUAUCUCAUGCAUACACUCUGACUACGUACGUUGACCUGAAAGACCUUUACUGGGAAUUAAUAUGAGAAAGAAGGAAACGAUAUUGAAUUUUCUUAGCAAAUAUUUGAUACUGAUUGCAUUCCCUGCAUUUGAAUGGUUAUAGAAAGAAAAUUGUGCUCUUGUCAUAGAGAUGGUGAGAAAUUUCAACAUUCAAAAGAUCAAAUAGGAGUCCUAUUCAAUCUUGGUGGCUUUAAACAGUUGCACUUUCACUCAUGACACCAUUCAAUUUUAUGUCGUAAUUCAGUGAGAGUACGUCUAUUUCAUCGUGUCGUGCUUAACAAGUUGCACUAAAAUACCUGAGAAUGAAUAGGAGAAAAAGGAAAUAUUAUUGGAUUUUCUCACCAAAUAUUUGAUACACGUUGCCAUUCCUACGGACAAGUAAUGGUGACAACUUACUAGAAAAUUAUUAAAUUCAUUGUCAUAGAAAGAAAAUUAUUCUAUUCUCAUAAAGAUGAAGAUCAUGAGAAAAUUUCAUUUUGAAAAGAGUUAGGGGCUGUUUGUUUGUUUUAACUUAAUGAUUUAAUUGAUUUAGUUUCAACCAGUUAAGUUAUUAAGGUGUUGUUUGUUUUUUAGUCUAAAGUUUGAAUUUAACCUUUUUUUCAGACAUUUAUUUAUUUUAAGUUGUUUGUUUUUUUAACUUACCACUUAUUAUCCGACAAUUCUAUCUGAAAAGAAAAAAUAGAAAAAGUUUACUUUUAUCUGAAGUCUGAAGUCUAAAUGGAAAAUUUUAAUUUCAAAUCUCAAAAAUACCCUUAACAAUUCAUGCAUUUAUAAUAUUAUGUAUAUAAACCUAAUAUUUUUGUAUUGUUCUUGAAGUUAUUUUUUUAAAGUAAUGAUAUUACCACAAACUCUUGUACAAACUUAUUUUGUACAAACUGAUGUGGCGUUAAUUCAUUGGUUGAACUAAAUAUCUCUUGGUCCACAUGAUUUAUUUCUAUUAUUUUAUAUUUUCAUUCAACCAAUGAAUUAAUGCCACAUCAGUUUGUAUAAGAUAAGUUUGUACAAGAGUUUGUGGCUGUAUCAUCACUCAUUUUUUUAAUUGCUUUAAAUUUUUAUUCACAUGAUAACAUUAAUUAAACUAAAAUAUUGAACAAAUCAAAUUAUGUCCAUUCUAAUGAAUCAAAAAUAAAAUAACAGUGUUGACUUUAUAAUAAAUUUGAUGUUAUAAUUACAUCUUUUAUUAAAAAUUUAAAUUAAGAUCAACAAUGAUAAUAUUUUUUUUUAAUGCUACCAAACUAAUCAACCUGUGAAAAUUAUAAAUUGUGAAGAAUAAAUAUAUGCACUGCUUAAAAGGAUAUUUAUGUCAAACUACUAGUUUUUAAGUUUUUCUCUUCAGAUGUUGAAAAAGAAAAAACAAGCAUGUCAAUCAAACAUUUUUAUUAAGACCUAUUCACACUUCAACUAAAUUCAGACCUAUUCAAAUUUCAGAUAAAAAAACAAACACAACCUAAGUCUGCUUUUGUUUUUUAACUUAAUGAAGAUUUUCAACAAUUAAGUCAUUAAGUUAUUAAGUUAAUUUUUUUAGCUUUUUACUUAAUCUACAAAGUUUGAAUGCUAUCAUUAAAAGAUAUUUUCCAAAAUAUGCCUAUCUAAUUAAUUAAUUUUCAUCCUUAGCUAAAUAAAAUUUAAUAAUUAGCAUUAUUACCCAUCUGUAUAUAACUUGUGAUAAUAUAUAGUGGUAGACUAUUAUUAUUUUUAUCUUUUUAUUUUGUUCAAAUUAGUAUUAUUUAUCUUCAUAAUUUUUUAUGAAUAUUUUUCAUAUAAAAACAUCACAAACUAUAAUAAAAUUAAUUAACAUAUAUGAUAUAAAAUAUUAAAGAGUUGUACUCAAUUGAAUAUGAAUUACGUUAUGAUAAUUUAUUGGCUUAUUUAUAUUCUUUGAGAUAUUUAUUAUUUGUUUAACAUUAUAAUUUGUAAGGGCAUAAAUGUAAAACUAUUAAUUUUCAGAUUUUUUUAGUUAAAAAAAAACUUAAUAUUUAUUUUUAACUAUUGAGACAAAAAAACAAACAUGUCAUUCAAAUUUAGACAUUCAACUCUAUUCAAAAUUUAAACUAAUUCAAGUUUAUUAAGAUUUAAAAAAAAAAACAAACGCUGCCUAACCAAGAGAUUUAUUCAAUCUUGGUUACUUUAAUUGGUUUCAUUUUCACUCAUCGCGCAAUAUAAUGGUUUCUAAGAGAAGAAAUGCUAGCCAGCUACCGUCAAAUCUGACAUCAUGAGAAUUUAGUCCCUUCAGUAGUUGAUGACUAAAUUAAAGGGAACUAAAGGAAAAAAAACAAAAAAAAAAUUACACGUGAGAUUUUGACAGAGUCGGACUUGAGGGCUUCUGGAUAAGAGUCCUUGCUCUUCCCUGGAAAUGUGGGAAAGAAGCAUAUUUCGCCAUCCAACAGUGCUUCACGGAGAGUAACUUUUUUGGACAGAUUUGAAGUUGGCAAUUCGCACUUUACUUGUAUGAUCAAAUAUUGAGCUUCGGAAGGAGUGAGUUACAUACAUUUCUCAUAUUCAUUGAUUUUUUUUUUUAGAAGAUAUAUAUUGGAAAUCUGAAAUAAACUAUUAAACAUUUAAUUUGAGAAAUUUAAUAAAGAUCUGAAGUAAUUAUAUAGUUAUUAGAGAAAUUGCUUGACUCAAAAGAAUAUUUUUAUUUCAUAUUUUCGUAAAUAAGUCAAGCUGGGAAAAGUGCCCGGAAAAUAAGUUAAAAAAAUUUGAAUUAGAUUUUAAGCAAUGAUAGUCCCCCACCUUUUAUGCAAUCAUUUAAUAGCAGAGUAAUAUUAUAAAAAGCCAUAUUGAAUUGAUGGUGGAAAUAGUAAAAUCCCUUAUUUGUAUUAUCCACAUCACAAGUCAGUAUAAUCACCCCUCAUUUGUAAAUAAGUUAGAGGUGAUUGCUCCCUAUAAAAUCAUUAUUAUAAAGAGGAGUAAAUUUCAAUUCAUCUGCCGAAUAGAAUGAUUAUUUUUAAUGGGUUAGGUUAUUUUACACAUUAAAAAUUAUUUUGAACACUUUAUUACUCUACACCUAUCAAUUAAAUCUAAAAAAAAUAAAUUUAGUUUGUACACUCUUUUAAAUGUCAAAACAGCCCUCACCCUAUAUAUAAUUAGUAAAAUCCUUCAUUCACCAAAAAUAGCUAUCUAAAUUAGUUAUCUUUAUUUACUAGUUAGAAAAAUACUCAACUCACCAAAACUAAAAUGAAAAAAGAAUAAUAGAACAAGAAUUAAAAGUUUUCCUUUUUUUUUGGGCAGAAAGUGUUCAAGUAAAUAUUAGUUAUUCAUAUUCAUCAAAAUUCAUUAUUCAUAAAAGGUUUUAAUUCAUUUUCAAGAAAAAAAAAAUCAACUCCAAACUUAUUCAUCUUACCACUAUCAAUACAGGACAAUGAGAUUUUUCUUAAUUUUUUAAAAUAUUGACAAAAACAUUCGCCAAACAUUUCUUCUUUUUUUUUUAAAUACUUGAAAAUUAUUAAAAAAAAGUUGAAGUUAAAAUAUCCUAAAUUAUUGAUUGGUCCUUUAUAAAAUUUGUAUUGUUAAUAUGUUAGAAGUAAAAUUUGUUGUAAAAAAUUGUAAGUUGAAUAUCGAGUGUACUAGAUGGGUGUACAAAGUCACUAUUUAUAUUUACUCAUAAUAUAUUAUCCUUAGUAGUAAAUUAGAUCAUGGAUAUUUUUGUAAAAAAAAAUUUAUUAAAUUUUACAGUGUAAAAAGUAAUUUUUAAAGUAUAAACAAUUUCACCUAUCUUGAAUUUACUCCUCAAAAGUUUGAAAACCUUAAAUUAUUCCUUUUUUUUUUUUUUAAGAUGAUGACAAAUGAAGAGGUGCGCUGAUGGAAUUUUUUUCUCUUUAUCCUCUUGACGGCAGAUAGAAGUACAUUGAUGUUUUCAUGGUUUUGGAAGUAAAUUAAACAUUAUCAUUCUAAAUAGAGAUAAACUGAAAAUUACUCUCAUAAAUAAUCCAUUGACUCAUUGGUCUUUUUCACUUGCCUAGUUACUUCCUACUAUUUUUCUAAAAUAUUAUCAGAGCUAAACUUUCUUGUUAAUUCUUUUAUGUGCAAAAUCUAUGGCUGGUGAUAUUUCCCCCACUAUUUAGGCUGUGAUUAUACGAAAUAAUGUGAACCAGCCAUAAAAUAUUAUACGUAGGAGAACUAACACAAAAGCUUAACCCUGAUAUCAUUUUAGAAAAAUCGCUUCAUCCAAAUAAACUGAUAGACAAAUUACGAUUCAACGAUAAUAUUAAGUCGUGUUCCAACAGCACUAACAGCCGUUAUAUCUCAAUCAUCUAUUAUUACUAUAAACGAAUGAUACAAAAUCUUUAAAAGCAGAGAGCAGCAUCUUGCUUUCUUCUUAAACAAAUCGUGUUUUGAUUAUUCCAAAGAGUCUUUAUUGACUGAUAAAUCAAGAGUAAGAUGCAUGAGGCGUAGCUGCCUAGCAUAUUCCGAAGACGAUAAGAAAAUUCAAACCAUCCUUAAGCUCAGGGCUGGCUUUAGAGUCUGAGGGGCCUUAGGCGAAAUUUUCUUAUGAGACCUCUAUUUAUUUUGCAAUUUCAAUACUCAAAGACAUAUAAAAAGAAUUAAAAUUUAUUUCAUCUUUAAUUUUUGAAUUUCAAUAAUAAUAAAAAGAGAUCAAAAAUUUUAAAAAUAAAACCUAAAAAAUAGUCAAGAAGAUAUAUUUUUUUAUUCCAUUAAAACCGUUAAAAACAAACAGACAAAUAAAUAAAAACAAUAUUUUUUUCAAAUAGAAUAUUUAAAAUGAUGGAGUACAAAAUUUUGAAAUGAUGAAUUGAUGUUCAAAAACAAAAAUGGACUUUAUAUUUUAAGAAACUAAUUAUUUUACAUGAACCAAUGAAUAUAAUAAUUUUCUUCGUAGAGAAAAGAACAAGAAAUUUUUUUCAUUUACUAAUUCUUGAGAUUAUAAGGUUUUUAAUAGAAAUUAAAAGAAAUACUAAAAAUCAAAGAUUCUAACAUUGAAUAAUUAAAAAGGUAAAUAUUUUUUGGAAAUAAUAAUAAUGAAUCAACUAAUGGUUAAAUAAUAUUAUUAAUUAUAUUUCUUUAAAAUUAAGGUUUCCAAAAAUAGAUUUUUUUUUAUCAAAAAUAACUCUUAAUUUCUUAAAAUACGUAUUAAAAAAUUUUAUUAAUUAGAGAAUUAUUAAGGAAAUACUCAAAAAAUGAGACCUUCUUAAAAUAUGAGGCCUUAGGCGACUGCCUUGUUCGCCUAUACCUAAAGCCACCCCUGUUUAAGCCUAGACUAUACAAUGUACUUAUAAAUUUUGGAUCGUUACAAAAUAGACUGUGAAACCUAAUAACAUUGUUAAAAAAUAAGACGUAUAAUAACAUUGUUAAAAAAUGAGACGUACUUCAAUUUCAAUUAUAAAGGAUUUUUUUAUUCUAAUUUCCAGUUUUUCUUUUUCUUUUAUUUUGGCAUCAUUUCCUCCGUGGCAACGAAAGCGGUUGUUGAGGCCAUUGAACGACUUCUACAAAUAUAUUUAAAAAUAGGGUCCAGCUAUGGUGCCACAGUUGUAUGGUACCACAGUUGGAUCCAGCCGUUGGAUCCAGCCAUUGGAUCUAGCUCUGGUGACAACUGUGGGCUAAAUCUAAUAGUUGGAUCCAGCUGUGGUACCAUACAACUGUGGUACCAUAGGUUUGUCCUUAAAAAUAAUAAUAAUGAAUAAAUCGAAGGAAGAUAUGGCCAUGAACUUCAUUGCGCCCUUACUAACGACAUAUACUGACAUACAAUGUUUGUUACAACCUAAUUUUUCCCUAUCUCCUUUUUCUACCACGCGUGCCUACUAGACUUCUAACCAAAAGCAAAAAAAAGAAUAAUCAAGGGUAGUUGAACUUGAGCCACGUUUUACUUUCCCAUUCUUGAUCUUCUGAUAAUCUAGACUAUAAAUUAACGUUCCAGCAAUUGCACCAGCACUGAGUAUAAUUCACACUUCUUGUGAUACUAAGUCCAAGCAAAAAUAUAUGGCAACAACAAAUGGCUCUAUCCUGGCAACCCAGUCCUGGGAUCUUACUGAUUUUGUUGUAAACAAAGGUCACGGAGUGAAGGGACUCUCCGAAAUGGGACUCAAAAGCCUGCCAAAACAAUUUCACCAACCCUUGGAAGAAAGAUUCAGUGAGAAAAAAAUCCUGGACCAAGUGUCAAUUCCCCUCAUUGAUAUGUCAAAAUGGGAGAGUCCUGAAGUCGCAAAAUCCAUUUGCGAUACCGCUGAGAAUUGGGGAUUUUUCCAGAUUGUGAAUCAUGGUGUGCCCCUGGAAGUACUCGAGAGAGUAAAGGAAGCUACCCACAGGUUUUUCGCGUUACCGGCAGAGGAGAAGAGGAAGUACUCAAAGGAGAAUUCACCAAUAAAUAAUGUCAGAUACGGCUCAAGCUUUGUUCCUCAUGUGGAAAGGGCUUUGGAGUGGAAAGACUUUCUCAGCCUGUUUUAUGUUUCUGAGGAAGAAACUUCUGCUUUUUGGCCUCCUGUUUGCAAGUAAGUGCCAAUAUACACACACACAUACACACACACUCUUUCAUGUACUUGGAUUGUAUACUGAACGUUAUUAUUUUGCUUUUGUACGUUCUUUUCUUUCCCCCUCUUUCGGCCCGUAGGGAUGAAAUGUUAGAGUACAUGAGGAGUUCUGAAGUUCUCAUCAGACGUUUAAUGCAUGUGCUAGUAAAGGGGCUAAACGUGAAACGAAUUGAUGAAAUAAGAGAACCUAUGUUGUUGGGCUCAAGAAGAGUUAACCUCAACUAUUAUCCUAUGUGUCCCAAUCCUGAACUCACAGUUGGGGUAGGCCGUCAUUCAGAUAUUUCAACAUUUACUAUCCUCCUCCAGGAUGACAUCGGGGGACUUCACGUGCGAAAAGACAACGGUACUGAAUGGAUUCAUGUCGCUCCAAUUAGCGGAUCACUCAUUAUCAACGUUGGUGAUGCAUUGCAAAUCAUGAGCAAUGGUCGAUACAAAAGUGUUGAGCAUUGUGUGAUUGCCAAUGGAAGCCAGAACAGGAUUUCGGUCCCCCUUUUCGUGAACCCAAAACCUGAAGCCAUACUCUGUCCUUUCCCCGAAGUGCUUGCAAAUGGGGAGAAGCCACUGUAUAAGCCAGUUCUGUGCGCAGACUAUUCCAGGCAUUUCUAUACCAAGGCACAUGAUGGGAAGAAAACUAUCGACUUUGCAAAGAUAAGCGACAUUUGAGAUGAAAAUAAGUGAAUGCCUAGCUAAUUGUUAUCUUGAUGAAAAUAAAGUGCACGGAGAUGAAGGUGGGAUUCAGUGAAUAAUGCUGAGGCCAGUUCUUCACUCCUGCUAUGGAAAAAUAAAUUUAUUGUUAUGAAGGGUUUUUUUCUGGCUUCAAAGCUCUAUGUACUUGUUUCUAUUUGUCAUAUAAAUAAAUUGUAUUUGUGUUCUGUGCAUGUUUUUUCUGACACUUUACGAGAUCUUUUUGAAGUUACCAGAAACCUUAUAGAUAUUUAUUUUUAGAACUUUAUUGGUGUCAUGAUCGUAAUUAUGAUGUUACGUCCUUAUGGUAUAAUGAUACUCUGGUAUUUGUCUUCAACCUCAAGCCCAGUUCAAGCUUAAGUCUAAAUGUUUAAAUUUGGAUGGAUCCAGGUUUUGAAUAAGACAUGGCUAAAUUAAAAUUGAUUGUAGGUAUUUGUUCUACUGUCCGGUACAGUUGAAGCAGCAAAAUAUAUAGUAACAAAUUAAACAUCACGAACCUUACUCUUAACAACAUAUAUAUAUAUAUAUAUAUAUAUAUAUAUAUAUAUAUAUGUGUGUGUGUGUGUGUGUUAAAAAUUAAAAAAAAGAAAAAAUAUGAAAAAUUAACUUAUAAGGGCAUCUCCAAUGUAGCACUAAACCAAACAUCAAAUCACAUUUUACACCAUUUUGGUGUAAAAUGUUUCUCUAAUAUAACACUAAAAUGGUGUAAUGAAUAGUAUUGCACCAAAUAUGGUGCAACACUAUUCAUUUGCACCAUAUUUGGUGCUACGAAUAAAAAAUCUCAAAUAUCCUUAUUACAUUAUCUUAUUUACAUAUAUGUCCUAUUUUAUAUAAUAUUUUAAGUUAUUAUUAUUAUUUUUGUUAUUUUUUUAAUUUUUCAAUAUUAUACUAAUAUUUUAAAUAAAAAAUAUUCAACUAAAAAAUUAGUAAUAAAAAUAAAAUGUCAAUAACAUUAAUUACUAGAUUACAUAUUACAAAAUUAAAAAUACAAAAUUAAAAUUAACACAAAUUUAAAAAAGCUACUACUACUAGCAUAAAUUAGAACAAUUAUUUAGUAAUGUGGGAGAUCAUUAUUAGAUCCUCCAAGAUCAUUAUUGUUGUUAUUUAUUGUUAUUGUAUUUUUCUAUACUAAUGUAAUGUUUAAUUUUCAUAAUGUACUAAUUUAGUUAAUUAAAUGCAAAUUUAAUAAUUUCUAUAUUUUUUUUGUUAAUCGAUAUAAAAUUACUUAUUACUUAAUUAUCUAUAUUAAUAGUAAUAUUUAUUGUGUUAAUUGAAUUAAUUCUUGAGAAUUAAAGGAAUAAAAGAAGAAUAUUUUUUUUGGUUUAAAUGAGUUAGAGAUGAAAUAGUAAUUUGAUGUGAAAAAUGUACAUUUUUAGUGUUGGUGUUACGCCAAAAUGGUGUUAUGCAUUGGAGAUGGUUAACGUAAUUAUAAUAGAAAUUAUAAAAUUGUACGUAUCAUGAAAUAUUAUUUCUUGAAAUUCUUUUUUAAUUUCAAUAAUAGAGAGUAGGUGAAAUAAUAGAAUAAUUUGAUACAAUUAUUAAAGAAGGAGCAAGUCUAAUUGUAAAGGAAAUAAACCAUGAAAAAGUUAUUACUAUAUAUUCAUCAAUUGUGGCGAUUUUGUAACAUUCCAUUACUAGUGACAAUAGUGUCUUUAUUUUCUUCAAUAAAGAUAUGCUUUGUUCAAUUGAAAUGGUAAAUUACUCCUUUCAUAUUGAAUUUAAAAAUCCCUUGUAAGAGUAACGUAAGUAUAAAAGGUAUUUCAAUUAUUUUAGGAGAGAUCGAAUCUAGGACAUACUAUAAAAAUAAUGAAAUUCACAUUCUUAUAUAACAAAUCAUAAAACUUUGUGGCUCUUAAAGAAUUUUUCUUCGUUGAGGUUAGACUAUUGCCUAGGAUUGGCAAAAUUCGGAUCCGGAUCCACAUAUAUAUAAGUGCAUCCGGAUCUAGAUCUAUAUUUAUUUUUCUAUAUCCAAAUCCACAUCCAAAUUUGAAAAAAAAUGUGAAUCUAGAUGUGGGUAAUACUUGCAAACAGAUGUAGGUGGAUAUUUCAUAUAUCUGGAUCCAAAAAAUAAAAAAAUUAAUAAUUUAAUAUAUAAUUUAAAACUCAAUAAUUUACUUAAUAGUAUAAAAUAAAAUUCAAUAAUUAAUAAUUUAACAUGAAUAACAUACAAAAUCAUAAAUCCAUAAAUAAAAUUUAAUUUUUAAUAUAUGUUUUUAAUUUGAUUUUUCAUUUAAAAUAAAAUUUAACCGGAUCUAGAUAUUUAGUUUUCUGGAUGCACUUACAUCUAGAUCCGAAUUCGGAUCCGUGUGGAUCACAACUUUCCACAUCUGGAUCCACAUUUUUUAAUAUGCAGAUCUAGAUUUUUCUUGGAAGAUGCAGGCUAUAUCCAGAUUUUUAAAUUUUAUUUAAUAAAUUGUUUAGAGAUGCCUUUUCUUUUUAAUAUGUAAAGUCACAUAAAGUGAAAAAAAAAGACUUAAUUAAAUAUAAUCUAAUGAACUUCAUAAUUUGUUACAUAAAAUAUGAUAAAAAUUCAUGCUACUAUAUAAUCCAUUAAAAAUAAAAACUAAUAUGCAUUAUAUUCACAUUAAACUUGUUGUAAUAAUAUUCCUUAAAUUUUUCAUUUAUUGUGAUCUAGAGACAUUAGUAUAGUGAUACUCUUUUGAAGUGUCAUUAUCUCUUUUUAUGCCUUCAUCAAUGAUUAAACUAGAAUUAUUUUCAAUGUUGUCAAAAUAAAGAUCACAUUGUGCAUGCCUCUUGAUAUAAUUGUGCAAUGCCAUGAUUGCGAUGAUCUAAUUGCUAUUGGGGUAACUUGAUUAUGCCGAUAAUAAUGUGAUAUCUGAUAGUUAAUUUAUAUAUUAUGGUUUAUGAAAAAAAAAGACAUAAUUGUCAUUCUGUUAAAAUAUUAAAGGUUCAAAAUAGGAAGUUUAAAAAGGUAAGAUGACUUAUUUUAUAAUGGUUUGUUUGUUUUUUUUACUUAAUGAGUUAAUUGACUUAAUUUUAGUUAGUUACGUCAUUAAGUCUAUUUGUUUUUUCAACUUAAUAAAGAUUUUCAGCAAUUAAGUCAUUAAGUUAUUAAACUAAUUUUUUUAGCUUUUUAUUUAAUCUAAAAAGUUUGAAUGCUAUCAUUAAAAGAUAUUUUUCAAAAUAUUCCUAUCUAAUUAAUUAAUUAUCAUCCUUAACUAAAUAAAAUUUAAUAAUUAGCAUUAUUACCCAUCUGUAUAUAACUUGUGAUAAUAUAUAGUGGCAGACUAUUAUUAUUUUUAUCUUUUUAUUUUGCUCAAAUUAGCAUUAUUUAUCUUCAUAAUUUUUAUGAAUAUUUUUCAUAUAAAAACAUCACAAACUAUAAUAAAAUUGAUUAACAUAUAUGAUAUAAAAUAUCAAAGAGUUGUACUCAAUUAAAUAUGAGGUUUUAUUAUAUAGAUUAUUGGAAGAAUGGUCUUCCCACAUUGACAAUUAAAGAAUACAAGUGGUGAUUAUAUUAAAUUUAAUUACACAUAUAAUAUAUGCAUUAAUUAGUUGUAUUAUCUCUGAAAUAUUAUAUAAUUCAAAGAGUUUAUGGCGAAUUAAAGUCAUUACGCUUAAAGCAAUAAACCACCACCAAUGAAUCCCCCUGAAGCCAAAGUCUUAUCCGACUGUUGGCAUAAGUUCGGUUAAAAAAGCCGACUCAUGACUUAAGAACAAACCAAAACUGCCUACGUGCCCCUAAAGAUGAUCCCCAAAAAUAGCCCCACAAGUAGCAUCACCUGGAUUUCCUUUUGAGAAGCUAUUACAAUUUAUCUUUAUUUAGCCCAUAGGAGGAGCUCGCCGAUUCCAAAUCUGACAUUUCGGAGCUUGGUAUAAUUUAAAAUUGAUUUAAGUUAACUAAUACUUACAAAUAUAUGAAUAAUUUUAGCCGAAAAUAAAUAGAUUAUGUCUAAACUUAUGUACUAACAUGCCAAUAAUAUAAGGUUCAUUGACUAUCUUUUAUGGUAGGCCGAUUCCUUCAACCAAAGUCUUUCUUAGAUAAAACAAUAGGUUUAUGUUGAGUAUGGAAGCAAAUCCAGAGAUUCAAAACGACAGAGGAUCUUGUGUUUUGAAGCUGGAAUCACUUAAGCCAAACGACAAGAAAUACGUGCGUUUUGAUGAGCAAAUAAAACACUCCUUGAAACGACAUAUAAGUGUACCGUUUAGCUUUGAGUUAAGCAAGUGAAUAUCACGUGUUUGUAAACAGCUCACAAGGUUCGUUAAAUGCCGUUAAUGCACAAGGAACUCACGUGAGUUGCUGGGAAUUGCUCUGGGUUCGUUAUGAAGCUGUGGUGAAGCAGCUGGUUCUGGUUCAACGGUUUUGGGUGAUUAGAGAGCUAUAGAGAGAGAAAGGGCUGGUAUAAAUGAGGAGUCCAGAUCUUGUAUUGUAGCUCAUGGCAUUGCUCUGUAAAUCAUCUUGAGAAUCAAUAAGACUGAUCAUAUUUGCCUUCCGGUGGAUGUAAGUUAGAGAAAUCCCGCUGAACCACGUAAAAUCUCUCUUGUUCUUUGUUCAUUCUAUAUCUUUUUUUUUCUUUGAUUCUGGUUGGUUAGUCGUCACAUUCCAUUGAUUAAACUUAGUCAAAUUCUUCAGUCAUCAAUCUUGAAGCAUCUUGGUAAAUUUGGUUGGUGAUCUUGGGCAGGAUCUGAGGUUGUUUGAUUUGUUUAUAGCACCUUAAGUCCUACAGUUUAUGUGAGUCAUAAAAUUGUACAAUGCAGAUGCCUUUAUAUUGGCUCUGGAAAACAGAUAACGAUGAUAAAUAUGACGUAAACAAGAAAUACUAAACUGGCUAGGAAAACAAUGUGAAUAAAGACAAAUUCAAUUUAUUGAAAUGACAAAUUGAAUUCAGUAAAUAGAGUGUUGCAACAUGAGUAAAACCCUUAAACAACGCAUAUAUUUUGAUAUCCAGGAGUGAAGAACUGGUCUCAGCAUUAGUCAUGGAAAUCAAACUUCAUGACCUUGCUCUUUAUUUUUAUCAAGAUAACAAUUGGCUAGGCAUUCACAUAUUUUCAUCGCAAACGUUGCUUAUCUUUGCAAAGUCGAUAGUUUUAUUCCCAACAUGUGCCUUGGUAUAGAAAUGCCUAGAAUAGUCUGCUCACAGAACUGGCUUAUACAAUGGCUUCUUUCCAUUUGCAAGCACUUCAGGAAAAGGACAGAGUAUGCCUUCAGGUUUCGGGUUCACGAAAAGGAGGACCAAAAUCAUGUUCUGGCUUCCAUUGGCAAUCACACAGUAUUCAAUACUCUUGUGUCGACCUUUGCUUAUGAUUUGCAAUGGAUCCCAAAUGUUGAUAAUGAAUGAUCUGCUAAUUAGAGAGACAUGAAUCCAGCCAUUACCAUUAUCUUUUCGCACGUGAAGUCCCCCGAUGUCAUCCUGGAGGAGGAUAGUGAAUGUUGAAAUAUCUGAAUGACGGCCUACUCCCACUGUAUGUUCAGGAUUCGGACACAUAGGAUAGUAGUUGAGGUUGACUCUUCUUGAACCCAACAACAUAAGGGCUCUUAUUUCAUCAAUUCUUUUGACGUUUAGCCCCUUGACUAGCACAGCAUUAAACGUUUGAUGAGAACUUCAGAACUCUUCGUGUACUCUAGCAUUUCAUCCCUACAAGCCCAAAGAAAAAAACAAAAUCGUAACGUUUAGUCCACAAUCUUAGGCCCUGUUUGGCUUUCAAGUGGUGUAACUUAAAAGGUAUAGUUUGUUGUUUUAAAAAAAACAGUAAAUAAAAGUCAAUGGUUAGUAAAUAUGACUUUUAAAUAAUAAGUUUGAGAAAAAUAAUGAAUAUAUUAUUUACAGUAAAAACAGUAAAUAUAGUUUGUUGGUUAGUCGUCACAUUCCAUUGAUUAAACUUAGUCAAAUUCUUCAGUCAUCAAUCUUGAAGCAUCUUGGUAAAUUUGGUUGGUGAUCUUGGGCAGGAUCUGAGGUUGUUUGAUUUGUUUAUAGCACCUUAAGUCCUACAGUUUAUGUGAGUCAUAAAAUUGUACAAUGUAGAUGCCUUUAUAUUGGCUCUGGAAAACAGAUAAGGAUGAUAAAUACGUAAACAAGAAAAUACUAAACUAGCUAGGAAAACAAUGUGAAUAAAGACAAAUUCAAUUUAUUGAAAUGAAAAAUUGAAUCAUAGAGUGUUGCAACAUGAGUAAAACCUUAAAACAACGCAUAUAUUUUGAUAUCCAGGAGUGAAGAACUGGUCUCAACAUUAGUCAUGGAAUUCAACCUUCAUGACCUUUAUUUUUAUCAAGAUAACAAUUGGCUAGGCAUUCACAUAUUUUCAUCGCAAACGUUGCUUAUCUUUGCAAAGUCGAUAGUUUUCCCAUCAUGUGCCUUGGUAUAGAAAUGCCUGGAAUAGUCUGCGCACAGAACUGGCUUAUACAGUGGCUUCUCCCCAUUUGCAAGAACUUUAGGAAAAGGACAGAGUAUGGCUUCAGGUUUCAGGUUCACGAAAAGGGGGACCGAAAUCCUGUUCUGGCUUCCAUUGCCAAUCACAUAGUGCUCAAAACUCUUGUAUCGACCGUUUCUUAUGAUUUGCAAUGCAUCUCAAAUGUUGAUAAUGAAUGAUCCGCUAAUUGGAGAGACAUGAAUCCAGCCAUUAACAUUGUCUUUUCGCACGUGAAGUCCCCCGAUGUCAUCCUAGAGGAGGAUAGUGAAUGUUGAAAUAUCUGAAUGACGGCCUACUCCCACUGUGUGUUCAGGAUUCGGACACAUAGGAUAGUAGUUGAGGUUGCUCUUCUUGAACCCAACAACAUAAGGGCUCUUAUUUCAUCAAUUCUUUUGACGUUUAGCCCCUUGACUAGCACAUGCAUUAAACGUUUGAUGAGAACUUCAGAACUCUUCCUGUACUCCAGCAUUUCAUCCCUACAGGCCGAAAGAAAAAAAAAACAAAAUCGUAACAUUUAGUCCACAAUCUUGGCCUUAUUUGGCUUUCAAAUGCUCUAACUUAAAAGAUAUAGUUUGUUGUUUUAAAAAAAAAACAGUAAAUAAAAGUCAGUGGUUAGUAAAUAUGACUUUUAAAUAAUAAGUUUGAGAAAAAUAAUGAAUAUAUUAUAAGUUCUUCAUCAUACAAGUGGUGGAUGAAAUUAAUUUUAUUUCCAAGUCAUAACAAUUAUUUUUUACCAAGUACUUUAAUGUUAUAGCUUAUAAGCUAUAGUUGCCAACUUCAAUUUUAAACAGUACAUUUAAAAUAUUCAUGUAUUUAUUGGCACUUGCUUGCAAACAGGAGGCCAAAAAGCAGCAGUUUCUUCCUCAGAAACAUAAAACAGGCUCAGAGAGUCUUUCCAAUCUAGAGCCCUUUCCACAUGACGAACAAAGCUUGAGCCGAACCUGACAUUAUUGGUUGGUGAAUUCUCCUUUGAGUACUUCCUCUUCUCCUCUGCUGGUUACACAAAAAACCUGUGAGUUGCUUCAUGUUUGGGAAGAAACAGAAAAGAUUGUAGUAGAAUGCCACGUGUCAAUGAGGCUCCAUGACAAUCACUGUACACCUCUGAGGUAUCCGAUCUACCCCUUAUAACUCAGUAUCCGGGGUACUCGACCUACCCCCCAAAACUCGGUACCCGGGGUACUCGGCCUACCCCCACAAAACUCGGUACCCAAGGUACUCAAUAGAUCAUAAGCGAAAUAAUUAAGGAAACAUAUCUAAAAAGUUGGUCAUGAGAAACGUCUCCAUCGCCUAAAAUAUAAUAUUGGAUUUUGUAAAAAUUAGAUAUCAAAAUAUCAUGUCGAAAAAGUAGUGACAGCCGACUAUCACCACUGUCAAAAAGUGAAGGACGCUGCCCCUAGGAUAGUGGUCCUUAGCCGCCUUACCAGACAACUUUUGUUGAGGUACUUCGGACCACUCUCCAGCCUACGCCACGUAUCCAAAGGGAUAAAAUAUGUCAUGAAACGCCUUCUUGUGCCUCAAGCAUGCUCCCAAAUGGCCCAAAAUCAUAAAAAGGUAAAAGGACAACCAAAAACCAUUGAAAAUACGCCACGUGGCAGCCAAUGUACUAUAUAUAUAAAGACAUCUAGGUUUAUUUUCAUCAUUUAUGAUCACACAUACUCCACAAAAAGCCUUCUUCAAUCUUAAACCACGAUUUCAGAGGGUUGGCAAGCUCGCGUCACCAUAAGAAAGCUUCAGUUGUUGACUUGAGCAUCGAAGUGAAUGCCGGGGCACCAUGGCUUCACCUCUAACCUUAUUUGCAUUGUUUUGCAGGUUAAAAGCUCACCUUAAGAGACCUCAUCUCCAGAUUUCAACCUCUCACUGUCAUCACCAUCCCCCCACUCUGCUUACCUCUUUUCGGAUCUUAAAAAUAUCACAAACAACGACCUAAUGAGGUACUCUGGUUGUCCCAUAAAAUAAAUUUAUUGUUUUAGAUAGGUUUUUCUUUUUUCCUUUGCACCUAAAAUCUGUCUAAAACACUUCCCUUACUGUCUCGAGUACUUACAGGGGCACACCAUGAUUCACAAUCUGGAAAAAUCCCCAACUCUCAGCGGCAUCGCAAAUGGAUUUUGCGACUUCAGGACUCUCCCAUUUUAACUUAUUAAUGAAGGGAAUUGAUACUUGACCCAAGAUUUUCUUCUCACUGAGUCUUUCUUGUAAGGGUUGGUGAAAUUGUUUUUGGAGGCUUUUGAGUCCCAUUUCGGCGAGACCCUUGACUCCAUGACCUGUGUUUAUAACAAAAUCAGCAAUAUCCCAGGACUCAGUUGCGAGGAUAGAGCCAUUAGUUGGUGCCAUUUUAUCUUGGAGACUUAGCCCUGCAAGAUGGAUGGUUUAUAUUUAGUGAUGUUGCAACUAGUUACAUCAUUAAUGCCUAUUUGUACUACAUUGAUGCAUUUGUACUUUUCAUAAACAAAGGAAAUUUCUAAUGUAAUUUCUUUUUGUUACUUUACUGUCUUACUUUUUUUUUUUUAAGUGAAAACUAGAAGAUUAAGAUGGUACAAAAAAGUCUUUCUGAAGGCCUGACCUAUCAUUAAAUAAGCUUUUAUCGUUUCACGCCAAUCGACUUUCCUGAAUCUUUCCUUCUUGGGUUUGGGGUUAAGGAGUGAUCAAUCAAUAGUAGAGUAGUUGGCGAAUAUAUAUAUAGACACGCACACACACUCUUAUGAAUAUAUGACAUGCUACAAAUACUUGGUGCAAAAGAAUGUGUACAAAUUAAUGUGUCCUUGCAUGAUGCGAUAUUUGUAGUGAAAUGGUAUUUUACUUUAUUGCCACAAUUGUUUAUAAUUACACAAAGGAUAUUUUCAAUUUUUUUUCCUAGUCAAUUUUGUUUCCAUUUUUUUUUCUUGAUGGGGACAUUAUUUAAGCAAUUAAUAAAUUAAAUCCUUCACAUAACUAAUAAUUUCAUGAGAAAAAUAACAUAUAUUUCGUAGCCAAUAAAUUUCUUGAUAUAUCAUGCCACAGACACAUUUUCUAAAUUUACUUGAAGCUUAAUAAUCAUAUUAAUGAGUACUUAAUUGGUUAAAGAUCAAUGUCACGAUAUUUAUUUCAAAUAGUACUAUUCUUAUUGUAUGAAAAAUACUUUUUUAGUACAAAAAAUACAUUGAGAUAAAUGACAGAGUUUUCAAAACUUAAAUAGCCAUUGUUUGCUGUAAGUAAUUAAUUUAGAUUUAAGGGUUUUUUUAGUUUUUAGUGCUGUGUGAAAAAGAACGUAAUAAUAUUUUUACUUUAGAGUCCUACUCUAAAACAAAGAAUAUAUAUUUUUUAUUAAAGAAGGGCCCACGAAGAUCUAAUGCAAUACUAAACGAGAGUGUGCAAUCUCAUAAGUAUCAUUACAAAGUAAACCAACAAUAGCAGGGGGAGGAGAAAGAAGAACAUGCAAGCCUAUGGGUGUAGUUAGGCUAUAGGAAGCAAGGAAAUCCACAGCACUAUUUGCCUCUCUGUACACAUGCUCCAUGUGGACGAUCUAAUCACGUGCUAAUAAUUCCCGAAUAGCUUUGACAAGAAUUGCAUUUUCGUUGGUUGAAGGAUGAGCCCUUUCCAAAAGAUGCACUACGCUCUUAUUAUCCACUCCCACUUGAAGACGUCUAAAGCCAUAAUCCCAAGCCACUCUCAAGCCAUGCAAAACAGUACACUCUUAUUUGUUUGUCAAAACAGUACACUCUUAUUUACAGAUGAUGCAACACAGCUAACUUUGUGUGAGCAAGCGGCAAAGAAUUUUGAGCUCAUGGUAGUGUUUAUUUAUUUUUCAGCCCCAAUCUAAACAGCUCUGCAUUCGGCUUUAAAUAAUUCUCAUAAAGCCCCGGUUAGUAUUUUCAGUUUAAUUACAAAUUUGUUUUUAACGAAAACUACUGAAAUGGACAUCAAAACUCUCCAGAUUGUAUUGGCUUUGAUCAUUAACUGUUGAUAACAAGCUUCAUUUCUCCGAAUGGCCUUGAGAACCUUUGUUUUUCUUCUAGGUCAGAACAAAUAACAAGUUAAGAAACACCUUGUUGGAUCAUAAACUUGAUCCAAAAUGAAUAAAUUCAAGCCCAACUCAUGGAAGAUUCCAUGAGUAGGUAUGGUUGGUGAGGUUUGAAUUAUUUGUGUUAGGUGUGGUUGGUGAAGUAGGUGAGUGGUAGGUUUUAAUGAAUGAUGAGGAUUUGUGUAGUAGUUGAAUAAAUGAAUGGUUGUGAUUAGUUUGUUUAAUGUAUAAAUACCAUCUCUCCCCUUUGGUUUAUGAAUCAAGUGAAGUACCAAAAUCUCUAAGGUGUAGAGAGUGAAAAAUAAGAGUUUUAAUUGGUGAGGAGUGUUGUUGAAGAAAUAAAAUAGUGUGUUUUUUGUGUGUUUUAUUUGUUAAUUCUCCAACACACCCUAUAUAGAGUAAUUUAUGUAGAAGAUAAGAGAAGUUUCUUCUCAACGUAUUGUUACUUUGAUACCAAUGAAUAAACAAUAAAAGAGACUUCUUGUUUUUACGAAUUUCAGUUUUCUUCGAAGAUCGUUUUCGGAAGGGACUUGGGAAAUAGCUGUAGAAAUUGGUGGAGAAGAAUUUGAAAGUUGAAUAGUUGAUCAAAUCAAAAGCAACAGAGAGGGUAGAGGCUGCUCGUAUUUUGAGUUGAGGAUGAAUGUCCAGAAAUUGUAAAGCAUUUUGAUUCCCAUUUCAGUAAUUUUGGUUAACAGUAAAAUUGUAGUAAAAAUAAAAAUAAUAAUUGGGGUUUGAAGAUAUUAAUGGAGGGGUCUAAAUAGCUCCACUCCAGUUCUCUUUUGUGAAUAUUACAUUGUAGAUAUAGUACAAUUACAAAUUGUCCAACUAAGAGCCAAAGCUCAACCUAAUGCCUACGCGGACGGAUCCGAUGUAUCAAUUUAAAAUACAUAUGUCUCAACAAUAUGUUUGAUUGAAGUCUGAUUAUAAUUAUUAGAUUGUUACUCUUUGUAAAAUGAAAGCAUUUGAGAAAACUGUAUUUUAAUUACAUGGAUUAAGCAGUAUUUUACUUACAUGGAUUCCAUAUGAAGUACUAAAUAUUCUAUAAUACCCCCAAGUCAGCUUGGUUGGCACAAUCGCCUGAAUUCGAAUAAUAAUAAGAGGCAAAUUUAAGUUGAUUCUUAAAUGAUGUAAUAAUUAACUCGGUCACCUUUGGAAACACUGAAUAUGAGUUAUUGACUCAAUCAUCGCUUUCAGUUUCAUUGCUAACUACAGCAUGCGAUUGGAAUCAAUUUUCCUAGUAAGUAGCAAGUGAAGUACUGUAGCAUUUCUCACGCACUUGCUUCAUAACACUAAAUCACUUUUGACAAAUUAAAUUGACGGCAACAAUUGUUUUAUUUAUUAUCAUUAUUAUUAUUAUUUUGUUAUAUAUGAAGCUGGAAAUGAUGAAACGUAGAAGAAUCUGUAAGUCCAUUAUAAGCUACUCAUAUAUAGCCUGCUCAUUUUGACUCGUGGCUAUUGAUAAGGAAACACUGUUUGGAGUCCAUCGAAAAUUUGGUAAAUGAAAUGGAGCGUUAGGUACUUUUUUUUUAAUAGAUUUUUGGAGAAAUAAAAAUUGUUCUCAAUAGUUGAAUUGGUCAAAACUCAAAGAGGUGUUUGGUAGGACCUUCUAAAACAAGAACUUAACUGAUUCCCUGGGAAACAAAAAAAAAGAAAAAAGUAGUACUUGAGUGACUUCAUACAAAAAAAAAUAUGGUAGUACUUAGGUGACUUUCUGAAAAAAGCGUAGUACUUACGUGACUUUCUACAAUUUUUAUCAUAAAUAUAAAUAUAACUUAAAAAUAAUUUUAUAAAUGAUUUUGAAUGUUACUUUUCAGGGUAGGUAUUCUUUUUAGUCAUUAACCAAAGUCAAAUAUAGACUGUGAGGAGAAAAAUAAAUAAACAGUGAGAGAACAAGGGCAAAAAGAGAACAACAUAAACUUUAAUCACUCCUGAAUCUUUAAAAGUCAGAGAUAGACCAUUAGAGCCAAAAUUAUAUAUAUAUAUAACGGAAUUUUUUAUUAAAAAAAAAAAACUCGUGUAAUAUUGCAAACUAUUUUUGUAAUUCCACAUAGGUCACAUGAUUUUUUUUUCAUUACUAGACAUCUUUAUUCAAAUCAAUCAUGUUAUGCACCAUCAUUUUGUAUAAUAAUAUCAUUUGUAAUUAUAUUAUUACUCUUUUAGAAAAUACCAUUUAAAAAAUAGUACCUAAUAUUAGAAUCAAUUGACUGCAGUAACGAAAGCUUAAUAAAGUGGACUGAAUGUCAUCUUUUAUUGAAACUCAACUUGGCUUUUAAUAGCCAUUUUCAGCACUAACAGAAAGCAUAUAAAUAGGACACGUUAGCCAUUAUCUUAGCUACGUGUUUAACAAAGAAUAAGUCAAAUAACAACAUCCCCAAAGACUAUGAUUUAUUGAAACAGAAAGCAGACUAAGUAAAACCCAAACGACUCUUUCACCUAAGGCAGCUUACAUAUAUGUUUGCCAAAAUUUUUUUAGACUCUAGCAAAACAAUUUUUCUUUUUUUAUAACAUUUUAGUAAUAUCAAAUAUGAUGACACUUCACAUACAACAUCACAAUGAGAGUAACUACUUUUUUCUCUCAAAAAAAAAAAGAAAAAAAUAACUAUUUUUAUUGUAAGGAUGAAAAAGCAUACACCAUAGUAAAGAAUUAAUUGCAAGAAAUCAUGAGAGAGAAAUCCUAACACUUGAUUAACAAGCUAGCUUAGCCAACUAAUCCCAUUAGUUAAAUAAUCAAAAGACUAUGGGUCAAUUUGGUAAUAUUGUAACUUUUAAAAUAAUUAUCGUUAACUGUGCUAUAAAAACAAUAAGCAAUAAAGAAAAUUAGUUAAAUGUUUAAUAAAAUCUAUUUUAGAAAUUAGUAGUAUAUGUUUAAUAAAACUUAUUGUUGAACUGCUUUAAAAAUGCAAAUGAGUAAAAUGGAUAUAAUGUUAGAUAAAAUUUAUUUACACAUUAAUAAAUGUGUAUAUAUAAUAUCUUUUUUACUUCAUUAAUUUUUAUUUUUUAUGCUAAUAUAGUUGCCAAUAAUAAUCAUGUUGUUAAGUUUAAACCAUUCUAUUUCCUAAUUGAAUAAGAAUAAUUUCAAACUUUUAUAAUAUAUAUCAGGAUAUAUAUGGAAUUCAAUUAAGUAUAAAAUUGAUUCUCAAAAUCACAUUUUAAAAAAUUAUUCUUCUUCUACUUUUCAAAAUCUGAUGUAAAAUAAGUAAUUUUAUCAAAAAUAAGUUAAAAAAUUACCAAAAAUCAAAAUUAGAUUUUAACUUUUUAAAAUCAAUUUUGAGACUCUCAAAAAUAAGUCCAAAGGGGCCUUAUUUUUGAAAGCAUAGCAAGAUUUCUUAAGCAGAAAAGAAGAGGGAAGCACUCAAAAUGACUUCACUCAAUCAUCAUUUAGAGAUAAGAAAUAAAUAAACGACACAUAAAAUUAUACAUGUAACAAAUUGACAAUUUUUACUGAAUAGUAAUACUAUUUUGGGAAAAAGACAUGCUACUGACUGAAAAUCCUAAACAACUGAAUCAUUUUUUUCUAAUUAUAUUAUACCAAGUUUGACAUGCCAUUGCCAUUUUUCAAAAAAAGUAAGCCAUGUCAUAAUCAGUUGUCUGAAUUUUUUCGGUACCUAUCAAAUGCAUCAAUCAAUCAAUCACUAUAAAUAAGCAUUAAUAAUGUUAAUUACUUGCAGCAUCACCAAGCAUAAUCCAUCCAUCUUGGAGAGCUAAGUCCAAGCAAAAAUGGCACCAACAAAUGGCUCUACCCUCGCAACUGAGUCCUGGGAUAUUGCUGAUUUUGUUAUUGUAGUGAUUUAACACCCCUUAAGAUUCAAGAUGCUAAGCCACUGCCCAGAAGACUCAAGUUCUUGAUCAAACAAGAUGCAGAAGAAACCAAGAUUAGAUAUCAAGUUCCCAACUCAAUUCCAAUAGGCUCUAGAUCUAAUGAUUAAUAUCACAGUGUUUUAACCUAAACAAGAAACAACACACAAGAACAGAAUCUUACGUGGUUCAAUUGUGCAUUACAUGCACAAUUUACAUUCACGGGAAAAGCCACAGGAAAAGCUUUAUUGAUGAAUCAAGAGGACAAAUACAGAGCUUCUAAACAAGAGAUUACAAGCAACAAGAAUAACCUCUCUCACUUUCUGAUCUCUCUCUCAAGCUCUCUCAGAACCACGUCUGUUUCUCCCUCAGCGACCAGUUUUAUACCACUGAUGCUGAAACCCAGAUUGCUCAGAAUCUGGACACGUGUGUAACGGCUUUUAACAGCCUUGAUUCGCUUCUUCACGAGCUGGCCACGUGCUUCACUUAAGUUCAUCCAAAACGACAGCUGCUGAGUUGUUUAGCCUUUGAACUUAAAAACCUCGUGCUGCACGUGACAAAUGACUGAACAAUUUGAUCAAAACGAAACCGUUUUGGGACUCUGAGUUUUCGAUUCAUUGCACUCAAGUCCACAGUUAUAAACAAAGGUCAUGGAGUGAAGGGUCUCUACGAAAUGGGACUCAAAAGCCUCCCAAAACAAUUUCACCAACCCUUGGAAGAAAGAUUCAGUGAGAAGAAAAUCCUGGAUCAAGUAUCAAUUCCCCUCAUUGAUAUGUCAAACUGGGAGAGUCCUGAAGUCGCAAAAUCCAUUUGCGAUGCCGCUGAGAAUUGGGGGUUUUUCCAGAUUGUGAAUCAUGGUGUGCCCCUGGAAGUACUCGAGAGAGUAAAGGAAGCGACCCACAGGUUUUUCGCGUUACCGGCAGAGGAGAAGAGGAAGUACUCAAAAGAGAAUUCACCAACCAAUAAAGUGAGGCUCGGCUCGAGCUUUGUUCCUCUUGUGGAAAAGGCUUUGGAGUGGAAAGACUUUCUCAGCCUAUUUUAUGGUUCUGAGGAAGAAACUUCUGCAUUUUGGCCUCCUGUUUGCAAGUAAGUGCCCACACACAGACACAUACAUACAUAUACAUAUACAUAUACUUUUAAAUAUACUAAAUCUCCACUACUUGUAUAAUAAAAAACUUAUCAUAUCUUUAUUAUUUUUAUAAAACUUAUUUUUAAAAGUCGUAUUACUACAUUAUCAUAACUUUUAUUAUAUAGUUACCACUUUUGGUUCACAGUAACUUUCAAACUAUAUCACCACAAUACCAAACAUGAUACCUAAGAUUGUGUACUGAAUGUUUUUAUUUAUUUUUUUUUUUUACUUUUUAUUUUUUGUUUUUGCUUAUAGGGAUGAAACGUUGGAGUACAUGAAGAGUUCUGAGGUUCUCAUUAGACGUUUAAUGCAUGUGCUAGUCAAGGGGCUAAAUGUGAAACGAAUUGAUGAAAUAAGAGAACCUAUGUUGUUGGGUUCAAGAAGAGUUAACCUCAACUACUAUCCUAUGUGUCCCAAUCCUGAACUCACAGUGGGAGUAGGCCGUCAUUCAGAUAUUUCAACAUUCACCAUCCUCCUCCAGGAUGAUAUCGGGGGACUUCAUGUGCGGAAAGACAGUGGUAAUGACUGGAUUCAUGUCGCUCCAAUUAGCGGAUCACUCAUUAUCAACAUUGGUGAUGCAUUACAAAUAAUGAGCAAUGGUCGAUACAAAAGUAUUGAGCAUUGUGUGAUUGCCAAUGGAAGCCAGAACAGGAUUUCGGUCCCCCUUUUCGUGAACCCAAAACCUGAAGCCAUACUCUGUCCUUUUCCCGAAGUGCUCGCAAAUGGAGAGAAGCCACUGUAUAAGCCAGUUUUGUGUGCAGACUAUUCCAGACAUUUCUAUACGAAAGCACAUGAUGGAAAGAAAACUAUCGACUUUGCAAAGAUAGGUGACUUUUGAGAUGAUCAUAUGUGAAAGCCUAGCUAAUUUUUAUGUUGAUAAUCAUAAUAUGAAGUGCAAGGUUGGUUUCCUAGAAUAAUCCCGAAACCAUUUCUUCACUCGUGGGUAUCAAAGAUAAUGGGCUUUACUCUAGUUUCAACAGUUUAUGUAUUAAAUUAUUUCAAUAAAUUUUAUUUCACUCUACUGGGAGUAAUUCAUCCUUCUCUCUCUCAUCCUAUUGAUUAUUCCAUAAAUUAAUUACUCUUUAAUUGCCUAUGUGGGAAGAUCAUUCUUCCAAUAAUUUCUACAAUAAACCCUGUAACCUUGAUAAGUUUUAUAACUUUUUUGCUGCUAAUCCCAACUCGAGACCAUAUUUUUAAAUAAUAAUUUGAUGAAUUUAUAAGGUAAUAUACUAUAAAAUAAUUCUUAUAAUUUCAUUAAGGUAUUAUAAGGUAAUAUACUAUAAAAUAAUACUUAUAAUUUCCAUUAAGGUCCCCACUUAUUACAUAAAAUAAUAUGCAACUAGAUGUAGAUAUGUGUGUGUAAAGAUUUAUGUUUGGGUUAAUUAUGAAAAAUGAUAUAAACUUGCCCGAGUCUGAACAAUUUGCCAAAAUUAAUAAGAAAUACAGAGAUUUGAAAAGUUCUAGCCUAAAACAAAUAGAUUGCCUAAAGCUGUGCACUAAAAUAUUUUCAGAUUAAUAAUAUAAAAUUAAUUGAUACUUACAUGCCAAAAAUAUUUUCAAUCCACUUAUAUAUAUAUACAUGAAUCCCCUUAUUUUUAUAUACUAAUAGAUAAAAGAAUAGUUUUAUUUUAGUUUAGUGAAACUGUAUAAUUUUUUCUUUAUAUGGGGUCUAAUAUCUAACUAGAAAAUGAAAACAGAUAUGACAUAAAUGAAAUAAGAUGGUGUUUGUUUUUUAGUCU
rnacentral:lncRNA from 1 species